UGGGAUGAGUUGAUACAGACAUUUUUUGGUUUGUUCAUGGUCAUUAGUAUAGGCCAUACAUAAAAGAUAUUUUGUGAUGGACAUAUUUUAUUGUCCAGUUGCUACAUAUUGUAAGUCAUACAUGUAGUAUUCUGGAAAACUGGGAAUAUGUAUACUGUGGAUUCAUUAAUAUUCAUUGGAUACUAAUUUUCAAGGAUUUCGUUGGAACUGGGGAACCACUAAUCUUAAUGUUCAAUGAAUUACAAUUUUUUUAAAGGAAUAUAUGUAGAUUUUGCCAAAACCACCAAAUUAUAUAUCAACGAAAAUACAAUUUUUCCUCAUUCCACAAAAAUUGGUACCAUUGAAAACCAGGUGCUCCGAAGGGGGUAGAAGUGGAACCCUGAACAGUUGGGGCAAGUAUGGACACAACAUUCAAGCUUGAUACAGCUCUGAAUUUAGAUUGCAAUCAAAUUUUUGACAUAAUAUGAGUUUCUGAUACAAAACAAAUGUCAAGAUCUUACAAAUCUAUUGCGUAAUAUUGUGCAAUUAAAGAUUUCUUCUUUUAACUUUUCAAAAAUUUAGAAU
rnacentral:lncRNA from 1 species